rnacentral:rRNA from 1 species
CACGUAGGGGGCAAGCGUUGUCCGGAUUUAUUGGGCGUAAAGAGCUCGUAGGCGGUUCGGUAAGUCGGGUGUGAAACCUCCAGGCUCAACCUGGAGACGCCACCCGAUACUGCUGUGACUAGAGUCCGGUAGGGGAGCGUGGAAUUCCUGGUGUAGCGGUGAAAUGCGCAGAUAUCAGGAGGAACACCUAUUGCGAAGGCAGCUCGCUGGGACGUAACUGACGCUGAGACGCGAAAGCGUGGGGAGCAAACAGG